rnacentral:ncRNA from 1 species
AGUCAAGCUACUAAGGGCAUACGGUGGAUGCCUAGGCGCCAGGAGCCGAAGAAGGACGCGGUAAGCUGCGAAAAGCCACGGGGAACUGCAAGCGAGUAUUGAUCCGUGGAUAUCCGAAUGGGGAAACCCGGCCAUCGUAAUGGAUGGUCAUCCGCAAGGAAGGGAACCCGGGGAACUGAAACAUCUAAGUACCCGGAGGAAAAGAAAUCAAACGAGAUGCCCACAGUAGCGGCGAGCGAAGAGGGCAGAGCCCAAACCUGUAAGCUACGGCUUAUGGGGGUUGAGGACUGACGGAAUUAAGGCCAGGCUUAGCUGAACUACCUGGGAAGGUAGGCGAUAGAAGGUAAGAGCCCUGUAAGCGAAAGGCAGAGCCUUAAGGUCAGUAUCCAGAGUACCACGGAGCACGAGGAAUUCUGUGGGAAGCAGGGGGGACCACCCUCCAAGGCUAAAGACUAACUGGCGACCGAUAGCGCAUAGUACCGUGAGGGAAAGGUGAAAAGAACCCCGGGAGGGGAGUGAAAUAGUACCUGAAACCGUAUGUCUACAAGCAGUCGGAGCGAAAGCGACGGCGUGCCUAUUGAAGAAUGAACCAACGAGUUAUCUGCACUAGCGAGGUUAAGUGGAAGACACGGAGCCGUAGCGAAAGCGAGUCUGAAAAGGGCGGAUAGUUAGUGUAGGUAGACCCGAAACCGCAGUGAUCUACCCAUGUCCAGGUUGAAGCGCAGGUAAAAAUGCGUGGAGGACCGAACCGGUGAGCGUUGAAAAGCUUUCGGAUGAGAUGUGGGUAGGGGUGAAAUUCCAAUCGAACGCGGAGAUAGCUGGUUCUCC